UGUCUCUCCAUUUCCUUUCCAUUUUCCUAAAUAUUCCUUCAUCCAUUCACUACUAAAAAAACCUUCAAUUGCUUCGAAAAUUUGCGACGGAAAAGUUUUCCGUCGCAAAAAGUCAACUUUUGCGACGACAUGUGCUACGGCUAUUUUACCGUUGCAUGUUAAAGAAUUUUUGCGACAGACAUAACAUUACCGUCGCAUAAUUAGACAUCAAUUGCGACGGUAUAGUCACGUCGUCGCUUGUAUAACUAAAAAAAAAAGAAACAAAUACGACUAUUCCUUCAGAUCUAGAUCAAUUUCUUUCACGCGACACUUCCUCCUCUUUCUCUCACGCUUCAUUCACCGAGCUCAAAACCCUAACCUAGUGAUCCUCGGCCGCCAUUGAAGAGAGAGAUUUGGUGACAAGCGGAGGAGAUCGAGCUUCAUUGACGACGUGGCCGAGGAGGAGGAGGAGGAGGACGAUGAAAACGCCCUAUCGUGGUGGCGGCGGUGGGAGUGUAAGCGGAGCAAAAAGAGGCUCUCCGAUAUGGGUUUUCUUGAUCUCGAAGCGGUGGUCGAUUCAGAUAAGGAGGAAAAGGAGGAUGAGGGUUGAAGCUUAUUCAGUUGAAGCUUGCUGGUGACUGGACCUCCGGGUGUUGGUAAAACCACUCUAAUAGUGAUUAGGAUAGUUGACAAGAUUUAGUAUCGAUAUCGUGAAACCCACCGGUACGGUGGCGCCAGGGGCGGAUCCAAGUACACCCUUGGGAGGACUCAAGCCCACCCGAAACUUUUGGACUAAAAAAAAAAAUCUAUAUGUAUGCUUCUUUUUUUCUUCCGAUAAUUGAGUGCUGGCUUUGUCAAGCCCACCCGAAGUCCCAACCAGCCAAACUUGAUUGCCUGACGAAGACUCUCACAACCUCUCAGUCUCUCGUUCUCUAUACUUCUCUGAAAGAUCAAACCUUAGAUCCGUAGUCCGUCGGCUCCGUCCUUCUUUUCGUCUUCUACUCAUAUUCUUCAAUUUGCGGCAAUCAAUUCAAUUGGAUCGAGGAUUGUUUUGUGUGCCAUCGAUAUCAGAGGAAUGAUGAGGGCAAGUUAUUUGCGUUGGAACUUGCCAACGAAAAUGAUACGAAUCAAACAUAUGAACGUCUUCACAGGCUCUUUACUUAGGUGGGUAUAUUUGAUAAAUAGCAACUGACAAUAAUUCAAGUCGUCCUCAGCCCCCAAGUCCAUGAAGGUGAAUGGCUCUCUCAAUCUUUUGGCUCAUACCCAGAUCGUUUUCUUGCAUUUAAUUGUGUAAAGUUGAAGCCUUUGCCUUUUUUGAGCCAAUUUGAUGUUUUCAAUUG